UGUAGUUGGUUUCACUAUUGUUUUUCAUUUCUCUACAGAUGCUGUACCUCUUAGCAGCUGGCACGCACUGGCCAGCUCUUGGUGACCAGUGGUGGCCUGAAUCAAGGGUAAAGAGCUCUGGAAUCCAGAGCAAGAAAGGAGAACAACUGAGCGCUAGUCCAGGUGACUCCCCAGGGAAAUGAGGGUGCUGGAAAACACUUUCAAGAACUCAGGUGAGAAGUUUUGCAGAUGAAUGGAAGAGGAUGCUGACUGUGGAGACCCGAACUGGAAGAGCAAGAGCCAACAGUUGGAGCAAAAUCGCAAAGAGAAGGAAGUCAUGGAGAAAGAAUGUUAGCAAAUGUGUAUACAGGGCCGUGAGAACUAACAUGAACAGCAGCACUCCCGGAAGGAGCAGAGAACAGAGGAAGGAGAGUUUAUUUAUAAACAAACAAUAAAAAGAAAUUUGUCUGAGCUGCUGAGAGAAUUUAGGCUAAAGGAAACCCUCAGUCUGCAGCGUACAAAUGUUCCGAGUACCAGGCAGUACCGAAGAGAAAGGCAAAUAUCUCAAGAUAUCCUGGUGAAAUUCCUGGACCUAAAGGGCAAAGAGAAAAUCCUACAAACGUCAGAAUACAAACGGAAAAAAGAAUCAGACUGUCACUUGAACUGUAUUUUGGCAACGCUGCAAAUUAGACAGUAAUGGAGUAAUGUCUAUGUGUACUUCCAAGAAAAAAGACCUGUGCCUGAAGAAUCUUAUAUGCAACCAAGAUAUUAUUCGCCUGCCAGGGUGAAAGAAUGAAAUUUAUGGAUUUGCAAUAAGUCAGAGAAAGUGCCACAGGAGUUAGAUAACUGAGAAGGAGCUCUAAACAAACAGAACCCAGAGUGAUAAGCAAAGGGCAAUGAUGGAAUGAACGGGAUAUGUAACGUAAGAGCUGAAUGAAGAUUCUGAAGCAGAAGAGGUCUCCUACCUGGGUAAUCAUCUAGAAUUAAAAAUAUCACACUGUCCUUUUAAACUUGGACAGAUGGAAAGUGGAAACAUUUGAAAGGAUCCAUCUUAUGGGGUGUGAGGAGGAAAAGAGGGAAGAGACAGGCCUGGCUUCCUGGCCUGCGAUCUGCGUGCAGUCUGCGCUCAAGAGGGCUUCGUGCUUGAUUUAAUGCUCUGCUGUCGCUGUCUUGCAAUUAUCAAUAAUUUGGAACAAGAGGCCCUGAACUGUCAUUUGCAAAGAGGCCCCGAAAUUAUAUAGCUAGGCUUGAAUAGAGAUCUCAGACUAAAUUUAAAUCCUGAAUUGACCAAGUUUAAAUCCAGAAAAUUCUGAGUUAUUUUGAUUGGAAAAGAGUAAGAUUUUUCUUUCCUCGUCCAAAAUGGUGGCUUGAGAGCUUGGUUAAAGUGAGAAAUAGACAAAAAGAGUUAGAUGUUGGUACACCAUCUUCUGUGAAGUUUAUACCAGAUAAUGUGCAGGCUGUUCGAGGGCAGAAACUCUGACUUCCUCAUCUGUUAGCCUCAUGGGACCUUUCACAGAGAAGCUGAAUAACGGUGGAAUGAAGGGGCUGUCCGCCAUCUUACAUGACACUGUGCACACUGCCAGCCAAAGCGAUGGAUUUUGAGAAUGGCAGUCUUCCUAGGUUAUGGAGAGUAUUCUCUGUAUUGAGGGCCAAUAGUCUCUGAUAUUUUGCUUUCAAUUAAAACAUUUCAAAAACUGCCAGGCGCUGUACUAAAGAUUACUGAGAGACAUAGGAUAAAGAAAUCAGGGCUACCAUUCACAGUUUAGUAAGAGCUGGACACCUCUCUUAAGCACCCCCUCUGAGCUCUUGAGCAAAAUUUCUCACUUGUGAUCCCUUACUAGCUUUCUAAGUUUUGUCUUACUGUAAAUAUUUCUUUUCCAAAGGAACAAUUCUACUUCACCACCCCUGCUAAGGGGCACAUCUCUGGGUUUUGCUGUCUAGUUCCAGCUUCCACCUUCUUUUCUGGUAUCUGUCUUGAUUUUGUUCUGGGAAAUCCUUUCCUGGCCAAAUCCCAGGACUAGGGGUGGGCACAGCCCCAGUGAAUCCCCUCUCUGCUUCCCUGGCACAGUGAGUGUUCAGGAAAGGGUGGCCAUAUGCUUUGUCAUCCAAACUGGAAUGCUUUUGAGAGUGAAAGGGGGCACUACUAAGGAUUACACUGGGACAACAGUGUAGAUGGGGACUCUUCCAGACAGACACGGAUGUGCUGUCACCCUGGUUCAGAGGAGCCACCUGACCCAGGCCAGUCUGAGCGGAGUUCCCAGAGCACCCAGGAAUGUUGGGGGAAGGAGGAGCCCUCUCCCCAGGGACUGAUAGAAGAGCUGAACUCUUUCUCCGUUUGAUGCUGGGUGAGGGUGUCCAGCUGGGAAUUGCUCCAGUCAGUGUUGUCAUGCUGCUCCCUGAGAGGGACAAAGCCGGUAUGCAGAGGAAGGCAAGGUGGGAGAAUCCCAGGGAACCAGAGCUCGAGCCCCAGUGACACAGGUCCUUAGUUUCCUCCUCACCCUGUCCCCAGGAGGACACAUUUAUGUCCAUACCUUUCACCUCCACACAGAAGCCUUCCCAGGAGACCCGCCCCACCCUGACCUCUGAGCUGAGACGCUGGGCGAGAUCUUGAUUUUCCUAUGGAAUAUUUCCUUUGUGAAGUCCUACUAUUAUCUUAGAAUAUGUCACAAAACUGACCUUAAACCAGCUCUGUGUCCUAAAUUUUUUUUCUUCAUCAUUUUGUCAUUUGCUGAGUACUCAUUUUGUGCCAUUCAUUGAGAGUUGAAAACAGAGUCCUUGCUCUCUUAGAUUUUUCUUUACUGCCUGACUUGCACAGGUUCAUUCUCUCCUCUAGAUGCAGCUGAAAUUGGUCCAAAGCUUCUGAGAUAUGUCCUCCCUUCCACGCUUCCUCCUGACGUGAAGCCUGCAGCCUCAUGGCAGGACUGUGUCACAGCCCCUCACCAGCCUUCCAGCUUCCAGACCCUCUGCAUCCUCUAAUGAAGGUUUUGUAAUAAUUUUUGUGGCAUUUGUUUUGAGUGUCCCAUUGGCACAACUUAAGGGCUCCUCCAAAUAAUGAUUUUAGAUGCACAAAAUAAAAUUCAUCGGCUUACCAAGUAAACCAAUUAUACUGAAAUACAGUUAUUGAAAGAGAAGCCCCCAUGCACAAACAUAUGCUAUAGCCACAUAUGUGCUUCUCUAUUAACGCCUCAGACAACAAGAUGCAGUGACAGGUUCAGGAACAACCAUAAUUUUAAAGCUGUGAUGCGUGUAAAUGAUAUUUUUAUAUAUCUGCAACAACUGUAAGGGGAUAUGAAAAUAUCCAUAACUUCUGUGCUGAUAAAUAUACAAGAACUGCUGAUACUAUUGCAGUCUGUUGCUUACAUUAAAAAUAGAAGAAAACGCCGCAUUCCAAUCAAAGAUUAGUGUAAAUAAAGCUGUUAAGUUUUUCCCUCCUAGGUACAUAAAUCCCAAGUUCAGAGUCCCUACUUUAAUCAGUCCUGCCUUGUAGCUUCCUGGACAAAUUUCCCCACAUAAUCUUUUCAUUAUGUCACUUCUUUCUUCAACCUGCUCUGGCUGCCUAUUGCUUAUUGGACCAAAAUCAACCGCUGAGCUUGGCAUCCAACAGCCUUCAUGAUACUUGCUACCCUACCUGUCCAGACUUUUCUGACAUCAUCUUUCACUUUGGAUUCUGCUCUCCAGCUGGGCUGAUUUCUUUGUUGUCCAGAGAACACAGGAAGUGCAUACCUCUUUGUUUCACUCAGGCUUCUAUAUUUGCUAGUGAAAGAAACAUAAUUUGCUUAAGCAAAAGAGGAUUCAAGCAUGAAUAGAUCCAGGUGCGCAAAUAAUGCUUCCUGGUGUCUUUCUCUCUACAUCUCUCGAUUCUUCUUUUCUUUGCAUUGGUUUUAAUUUCAGGUAGGCUCUCCUUUUUUUUCUGGAAAGUUAACACCAGAAAUCCAGGCUUUCUUACUAUUUUUUUGAGUUUACCGAUCUUAGCAGAAACUGAAUCUUAUUCCAAAUGGUGCCAACAAAAGCCCUUGGAAUUCCUAGCUGGGAUGAAGCUUGGGUGCUUUCUCUUUUCUUAAAUUAACUACCGAGAACACAGGGCUAGAAUAUUCUGACUGAACAGGCCUAGGUAAUGUGCCCAGUCCCAGAGCUGGGGAUGAUGUCAGCCUACUCAAAUCACAAGGAGAGAACAGGGAAGGGGUGUACCCCAAAAUAAAAUCAGGUUGCUAUUACCAGCAGAAUGGUCCUUAAAAUGGGCAGGCAAAAACAAUAGAUACCUGCUACUUCUUUUAAGGCUGGGUUCUAGUUCCUUCCACAAAGUAUGUUCUUCCCAUUCAUUUUUCUUUAGACAAAUUCCUUCAUUCACAGAAGGGAAGGUGAGCAUCACUGAGCAUGUACUGUGUGCCAAGAACUUCACACCCAUGUACCAGGCUUGAAAUUCAUAGUCACAGCUCUCAAGAACAGCAGUGUAAUUCAAUUUAUUUCUCUAUAAUCAAACUCAAAUGCUCUUUGCAGUGGGAGGAAAUUUUUGUCACAUCAAGAUAACUCAGAUUCUUCUGGCUUAACACUUAAUUUCUUUUUGCAUCGAUACUCGAUCAAUUCAGGCUUUAAAUUUAGUUCAUUCAAAGUUGAAAUUCCCUAUCAAGGUUGGUCUCUCUUCUUAGGGCUUCUCCUUUCUCUCUUCCCUCUUCCCCUCCAGGAUGCUGACUGCGUACAGAGGAAAGCACAGAGCAUCACAGCUGCAAGGGGAGGCUGUAUUCCAUUGGCUGUCCUCACUGGCCUCCUCUGAGCUCACUCACUGUUGCUUGUGGAGGGCAUGCUUUACUUCCUGCUACAGCCUUGCUGUCCUUACUGCUGUCCAUGGACCAAGUCAUGGGCCGUAGUCACGAUGUCUGUGUGCUUGACGUCCUUCUCCUUCUGACCCCAGGCCCCUCUCAAUGCAUGGAUUCUCUCAGCCUUUUGCUGGGUCCCUCCACUGGGGCAGGAGGAAUUAGAGAUCGCUGUGGGAACCCCAAAUGAGAUCUCAGGUGCUCUUGCUGCCUAAAAUCUACAAGCCUCCAUUUGCCUUCCUACUUUACACAUUUUACAGAGUGUGGGGCACACCAUGAGGAGUUCUCAGGGGGAACUAUUGAAGUGAGUUAGGGUAGAAGCCCCUUUAUCCCUGGCACAUCCUGAAUUCAUCCUCCCUGGCUUUUCCAGCAUCCCACACACAUCUGCCUGCCACUUUCCCCGUGGGGCAGGAGGACCACAUCCCACCUGUAACCUCGUCCUCUUAGACGUUCAUCUAGGUCAUGCCCUAGGCUUUUAUCUCCUCCCAGCCUGGCAGCUGAACUUCUCUCAGGACACAUCCCCUUCCUCCAUCCUCUGAGCCUCUGAGUUCACAAGCUUUUGAUCUUUGGAACCAGCAAUCACUUUUUUUUCUCUUUCUCUCUCAAAAAAUCUCAGCUCUUACAAAAUGAAAGUCAUAGCUUUCACAGCUAUUGUCUCUGAAUAUAUUUCGGGAGUCUAUUGUGAAUGUCAAAAGCUAACCAUCUAAUGUUCCGCUCUCGCCUGAGUUCUGUUGUCUUCCUGAAGCCUGGAUGUCUCAGCCUCCAGGCUGGAGAGCAACGGGUCAACCAAAACAACCUGUGUUAGUCUCUUAUUGCUGCCAAAACAAACUGCCAGAACUUAGUGACUUAAAAUAAUUUAUUGUCUUACAGUUCUGAAGGUAAGAGGUACCAAAUGGCUUUUAUUGGGCUAAAGUCAUGGUGUCUGCAGGACUGUGUUCCUUCUGGAGGCUGUAGGGGAGAAUCAUUUCCUUGCCUUUUCCUGCUUCUGGAAGCUCUCUGUACUCCUGAGUUUGUGGCCCAGCACCCUCCAACCUCUGUUUCUAUCUUCACGUCUUCUCUGACUCUGAUCCUCCUGCCUCCCCCCUAUAAAGACCCCUGUGAUUAUAUUGGGCUCACCUAGAUACCCCAAGAUAGUCUCCCCAUCUCAAGAUCCUUAACUUAAUUACAUCCUUAAAGCCUUUUUACCGUAUAAUGUAACAUAUUCAUAAGUUCCAAGGAUUAGGAUGUGAGCAUCUUUGGGGGCCAUUAUUCAGCCUGGCACACUACCUAAAAUGAAACUUUAUGUAAAAAAAAUUGUAAGAUAUUACCUUGAUCUACCUUCUAAUUCCUUCAAUCCUCCCAACAACCCUGUGAGUCGAGUCUAUUAUUCUCAUUUGACAAAAGAGGAAAUUAAAGGUAAAUUUGGGCCUAUGAUGGCCUGACCCUAAA